AAAUUAUAAUUGCUUAUAGAUUCGUUGUUUCUUUUUCCGCGUUUGAAAAUAAUGGAAGAAAAACUACUUAAAUCAUUACAAAUAAAUGUGUAAUUUAAGUGAGAGGUGGAAUGAGGAAGUUUAAAAUUCAUUUCUAUGGAUUCACGCAAAUGACAUACUCCCGUAUAUAUUGAUAAAAGACAUUGUGUUACAUUACAUUUUUUUAAAUUUGAAGUAAAAAUCAUUUAGGGGGGGGAUGGGGUAAUGGACCUGAGCAUGCAAAGAUGUUUAUCCGAUACUCUCUAUAGACUUGAAAAGCUUGAACAAUGGGAUACAUAAAUUUCUCACCAUGAGUGGCGCCCAGCACACACUGACUAUGGUCAAAAUUCCGAUCAAAAACACCACCAUCUGAAUCUCGCAUGCCUUACGGUGAAGAGACAAGACAGUUCGGAGGACCACAAAGUUGAGAAUGAUAAUCACAGUGAGCGCACUAAGUCCUAACACACUGUACAUGUAGGCGAAUAAUUUCACCCGGAAGGUGGUCCCGUAAUAAUCGAAAAAACACCAGGUCCCCGGGAAAUGGUGGACGUUGUCCCCUACCCCGAUGAGAGGGAGACAGGCCAUCACUAGGGCUGCGGUUAACAAUAUUGGAAACACGUAUUUCACCCGGGACGGGUUCACAUGGGCGCUGUAAAAAUAAGGUUUAUUUAGAGCAAGAUAUCGGUCCAUAGCCAUUGCGGCCAGAAUGAAUAUGGUUGCCAGUCCUGCAAAUAUCAUCAUAAAAGAAGCAUAGUUGCAUAGCGGCCGUCCGCCCUGCCACUUUAGUCCAUUGGCAUACACUAACAGAAUGACGGGCGAGGUAGCGCACGUCCCCAAUAGAUCGGUGAUGGCCAGAGCUCCAACUAGGCGGUAAAACACGGAUUGUUUCUGCUGUUUGCGGGAACUGUACAGCACCACCAGGGCCAAACUGUUCCCCAGGACCCCCGCCGCGAACAUGACGGAAGGGACGGCCAUGGAGACUAUCCUACUGACGGACACAUUGCUCCGUGGCUCCAGGAAUUCCGUCUGGUUCAUCUUGAGGUGAUGUUUUUAUUUGACACGGCUAAUCGGUUGAUAUCUUUGCCACCAUCUACAAAAACAGCACAGGAAAUGUUAUACUUGUGUAGCUCUAUAUAUAGCUCCUAUCAAGGUUUUUCAUAAGUCAAAGGAUAUCCUGAUUUUAGCAGUCGGCUAUUGGGUCUUUCCUGUGUCCGAACUUUCAUUGUUUGUUGUUUUUUCGCGUCCUGGUUUUAUAACCGAUAUGCUUUCGAGGACAUAUCCACCCCUUCUAACACCUGGUCUAUUGUGUUUCCUGCUUUAAAGAUUUAGUAGUUCUUUUUUUUAUUCUCUUAAUCAGGUCCUGAGAGAAUUAUGAGAUUAAUAAACAACAAAAUAUUCUACGCAUAAUUGUUGCAAUGUUAACUAUAAUAUCUGGCAAUGUCAAUUAACCACUUUUGAGGCUCUACACUUAGUUUACAUAACAUCUAUGUAAUUUUUGAGACGUUAUAAGGCAAAGAAAGCUGUCAGACACCACCGGCUUAUGUUUUGUUGUUUACUUAAAAAACAAAUAGGCAUGCUGUUUGAACCUGCUCGAAUACUGCUUUCAUGUAGAAUGAUCUGCUAUAUUUCCUUGUUUAAAUUGUUUCAAUCGUAUGAAGAAUAUAACUAAUUACUGUU
rnacentral:sRNA from 1 species